GGAGAGGGGCGGGGGGCCGACAGCUGAGCGCCGGCUCCAGGAAACCUACAAAAAGAACAAAAAGCUCCGCUUCGCUUUGCGCUGGAGGCAGAGCCCUGGCCGCGGGGCACCAUGGCUUCGAGCCCCGGAGAAAGUGUUAGGUACUAAAGCACGGGCUGGCAGCUUGGUGUUCCGGGUAAGACCCAAACCUCUACUGACAUGGUAACGUGACUGACUGACCCCUUGGGCUCAGAAGAACAUUUUCUAUAGGGUCUCCUCCACGUUGGUGGGGUUCGGCGGCUCGUCUGGGACGGGUUUGUACCUAUCCGGCUUUACCACGCCUGGUGGGAAACACACGCGCACCACCAGGUCGGCAGGGGGAGAUUCACCCACCCGAUCCUCUCCCGCUCCACCGGGCCCGAACCUCGGAGCCGGAGCAACGCCGCCGAUCAGCCGAAGAUGCUUCGC